rnacentral:lncRNA from 1 species
GUAACAUGUUGGCCUCCCUUUCUACACUUGGAGGCUUUGUUCUUUUUUUCUUUGCAAUAAGUCUUGUUGCUGCUCAGUUUUUGGGUCUGCACUGCUUUUAUGAGCUGUAACACUCACCGUGAAAGUCUGUAGCUUUACUUUUGAAGCCGGUAAGACCAGAAGCCCACCGGGAGAAACGAACGAUUCCAGACGGGUUGCCUUAAGAGAGCUGUAACACUCACCGUGAAGGUCUGCAGGUUCACUCCUGAGUCAGGGAGACCACCAACCCACCAGAAGGAAAAAAGUCCAAACACAUCUGAACAUCAGAAGGAACAAACUCCAGAUGCGCCACAUUUAAGAGCUGUAACACUAACCGCGAGGGUCCAUGGCUUCAUUCUUGAAGUCAGUGAGACCAAGAAUCCCCCAAUUCCUGACACAGCGCCCCUCCACUCCAGCCUGGGCAACGGAGCGAAACUUACCUCUCAAAGAAAAAUAAAAGAUAUUUAUUUGAGGCUAGCGUCGGCAGUGGCUCACACUUGUGAUCUCAGCACUCUGGGAGGCUGAGGCAGGCACGUGGAUCACUUGAGCUCAGGGGUUAAAGACCAGCCUGGUCAACAUGGCUAAACCUCAUCUCUACUAAAAAUACGAAAGUUAGUCCAGCAUAGUGGCGCACGCCUGUAAUCCCAGCUACGUGGGAAGCUGAGGCUGGAGAAUCACUUGAACCCAGGAGGCAGAGGCUGCAGUGAGCUGAGAUCUGGCCACUGUAGUCCAGCCUGGGUGAUGAGUGAGGCUGUCUCAAAAAAAU